GUUGAACGCUGGCGGCAUGCCUAACACAUGCAAGUCGAACGAGUGGCGGACGGGCGAGUAGUGUCUUGGAAACUGCCUGACGGACGGGGCUGACUACUGGAAACGUUAGCUACUACUGCUUACCCUCAGUUGUGUCCAGAUGGGAUUAGCUAGUUGGUGGGCUAACGGCUUACCAAGGCGACGAUGCCUAGCUGGUCUGAGAGGAUGACCAGCCACACUGGAACUGAGACACGGUCCAGACUCCUACGGGAGGCAGCAGUGGGGAAUAUUGCGCAAUGGGCGCAAGCCUGAUGCAGCCAUGCCGCGUGAAUGAAGAAGGCCUUCGGGGUGUAAAGUACUUUCAGCGGGGAGGCGUUACCCGCAGAAGAAGCACCGGCUAACUCCGUGCCAGCAGCCGCGGUAAUUC
rnacentral:rRNA from 1 species